AACGCGAAGGCUGCAAACGGUGUUGACGCAAAGGAUUUCUGCCCAGUGCUCUGAA
rnacentral:rRNA from 1 species